rfam:Canis lupus familiaris chromosome 16, whole genome shotgun sequence.
GGGGGGAGGCCGGAUCCUGGGGUGUGUCCCGGCACCCUGUGCUGCGGGGCCUGCAGUGUUGGAUUCGGGCUCCCACCUCGCAGCCCCCU